AAAUUCAUAGUAUAAUUUAGUAUUUCUAAUUGCAAAUUAGAAGGUAAAGAAUUUUAA
rnacentral:tRNA from 1 species